rnacentral:rRNA from 1 species
GCAAUGCCGCGUGAGUGAAGAAGGCCUUCGGGUUGUAAAGCUCUUUUGUCAGGGAAGAAACGGUCCGGGUUAAUACCUUGGGCUAAUGACGGUACCUGAAGAAUAAGCACCGGCUAACUACGUGCCAGCAGCCGCGGUAAUACGUAGGGUGCAAGCGUUAAUCGGAAUUACUGGGCGUAAAGCGUGCGCAGGCGGUUGUGCAAGACAGAUGUGAAAUCCCCGGGCUCAACCUGGGAAUUGCAUUUGUGACUGCACGGCUAGAGUGUGUCAGAGGGGGGUAGAAUUCCACGUGUAGCAGUGAAAUGCGUAGAGAUGUGGAGGAAUACCGAUGGCGAAGGCAGCCCCCUGGGAUAACACUGACGCUCAUGCACGAAAGCGUGGGGAGCAAACAGGAUUAGAUACCCUGGUAGUCCACGCCCUAAACGAUGUCUACUAGUUGUCGGGUCUUAAUUGACUUGGUAACGCAGCUAACGCGUGAAGUAGACCGCCUGGGGAGUACGGUCGCAAGAUUAAAACUCAAAGGAAUUGACGGGGACCCGCACAAGCGGUGGAUGAUGUGGAUUAAUUCGAUGCAACGCGAAAAACCUUACCUACCCUUGACAUGUACGGAAGCCUCGAGAGAUC